UUAAUUCAGAGGUGAGGCUCUGAAAUAAGCCCUGGGCACAGCCCUGGAACCAGACUGCAGCAAUAACCCUGCUGCCGUCACCCCCAGCAA
ensembl:snoRNA